GGUCUAUGGCAGGUAUGAAAGGUAAGUGUCAAGCAAAUAAGAACCUAUUUCACAUGCAAACUCAGAAAACUCAACACGUUACAAUCUCUUCUCCUUUCAAUUGACAACAACCAUGAAUUACAUUUUCCCAUCUACUUCUACACUCUCUAUAUAUACUCUACUUUAUUUAGAUGGGGAUUCAGAUUUUAAAUGUUAUAAAUUUUGAGCAGAGGGAGGGAGUUUUCAAAUGUAUAGAUAUGUCUAAAUUAAUCUAUCUUUAUUUUUUUUUAUACAUAUAUAUAAGGUUUGAUGUGAAGUCUGAGUUCUAUCAAAUCAGUAACAGUGAAAUUCGCGAACUCAUUGUUGAAUUCGUCACUGACUCUUAAGAUUUUGAGGUGAAGUCUGAGUUCUGUCAAAUCAGUAAUAGAGGAAUUCGCGAACUCAUUGUUGGAUUCGUCACUAUAGCUCUUAGUUCUUAGUUCUUUCCGUUCAUCUUAACAUAAAUGUAAAUGUCUCAGAAUAAUCAACCCCGCCAUGGCUCGCAUCGAGUGGCCAGGACUACAACAGCCAUCACAUUGAGUGGUUCACUCUUGGUUCUUUGCGGCUUAACGUUGGCGGCCACCGUCGUUUUCCUAGUUGUCGCCACCCCUUUGCUGCUGAUGUUCAGUCCUCUUCUUGUUCCUGCUAUGAUAUCAAUUUUCUUGAUCCUUUUAGGGUUCUUUGUCUCUGGAGGUUUUGGUGCUACUGCAACUUUUGUUUUCUAUUGGAUGUACAGGUACGCCACACGAAAGCAGAUUUAGAACGGAGUAAUCAGAGGCGGAUCUAGCUUGUAAUCGAUUGCUCAGACCAUGAGCAGUCGUCUGGUUUUCCCAGAGAACGCUUUGCCAAAUUAGGUGGAGUGAAAAGCCAACUAUGGUUGAAAAAUGCAAGAACUUUACUUUCUUCAUUUCAGCUUUGAGAUGAGCCUGCCGGUGACCGCCUCUAUGAGGCCCUUUGGGCCCAUUGUAGUCACCAUUUUACCGUGCUGAUGAAUGAAUGAGACCCUAUCUUGUUCUUGUUAUUUUGCGAUUUUUUUUCUUUCUAUUUAUCAACUUGAAUUUUUUGGUUAA